rnacentral:rRNA from 1 species
GUUGUAUGGUUAAGUGACUAAGCGUACACGGUGGAUGCCUUGGCAGUCAGAGGCGAUGAAGGACGUAUUAACUUGCGAUAAGCCCAGAUUAGGUAGUAAAAACCAUUUGAGUCUGGGAUUUCCGAAUGGGGAAACCCACUAGCAUAAGCUAGUAUCGCUGCGUGAAUACAUAGCGCAGCGAGGCGAACCGGGGGAACUGAAACAUCUAAGUACCCCGAGGAAAAGAAAUCAACCGAGAUUCCGAAAGUAGCGGCGAGCGAAAUUGGACUAGCCCUUAAGCUUUUUAUGCGUCAGGUGAAACUUCUGGAAAGUUGUGCGAUACAGGGUGAUAGCCCCGUAACCGGCAACGCAUUUAAAGUGAAAUCGAGUAGGGCGGGACACGUGAUAUCCUGUCUGAAUAUGGGGGGACCAUCCUCCAAGGCUAAAUACUACUGACUGACCGAUAGUGAACCAGUACCGUGAGGGAAAGGCGAAAAGAACCCCUGUGAGGGGAGUGAAAUAGAACCUGAAACCGUGUACGUACAAGCAGUAGGAGCACCUUCGUGGUGUGACUGCGUACCUUUUGUAUAAUGGGUCAGCGACUUAUAUUCAGUGGCAAGGUUAACCAUCUAGGGGAGCCGUAGGGAAACCGAGUCUUAACUGGGCGUUCAGUCUCUGGAUAUAGACCCGAAACCAGGUGAUCUAGCCAUGGGCAGGUUGAAGGUUGAGUAACAUCAACUGGAGGACCGAACCGACUAAUGUUGAAAAAUUAGCGGAUGACUUGUGGCUAGGGGUGAAAGGCCAAUCAAACCUGGAGAUAGCUGGUUCUCCCCGAAAGCUAUUUAGGUAGCGCCUCGGACGAAUACUACUGGGGGUAGAGCACUGUUAAGGCUAGGGGGUCAUCCCGACUUACCAACCCUUUGCAAACUCCGAAUACCAGUAAGUACUAUCCGGGAGACACACGGCGGGUGCUAACGUCCGUCGUGGAGAGGGAAACAACCCAGACCGCCAGCUAAGGUCCCAAAUUACUACUAAGUGGGAAACGAUGUGGGAAGGCUCAGACAGCCAGGAUGUUGGCUUAGAAGCAGCCAUCAUUUAAAGAAAGCGUAAUAGCUCACUGGUCGAGUCGGCCUGCGCGGAAGAUGUAACGGGGCUAAGUAGUAAACCGAAGCUGCGGCAAUGCACUUUAGUGCAUUGGGUAGGGGAGCGUUCUGUAAGCGGUUGAAGGUGUGUGGUAACGCAUGCUGGACGUAUCAGAAGUGCGAAUGCUGACAUGAGUAACGAUAAAGGGGGUGAAAAACCCCCUCGCCGGAAGACCAAGGGUUCCUGUCCAACGUUAAUCGGGGCAGGGUAAGUCGACCCCUAAGGCGAGGCCGAAAGGCGUAGUCGAUGGGAAACGGGUUAAUAUUCCCGUACUUCUUACAAUUGCGAUGGGGGGACGGAGAAGGCUAGGUGGGCCUGGCGACGGUUGUCCAGGUUCAAGUGCGUAGGCUGAGAGAUUAGGUAAAUCCGGUUUCUCUUAAGGCUGAGACACGACGUCGAGCUACUACGGUAGUGAAGUCAUUGAUGCCAUGCUUCCAGGAAAAGCCUCUAAGCUUCAGAUUGUAAGGAAUCGUACCCCAAACCGACACAGGUGGUCGGGUAGAGAAUACCAAGGCGCUUGAGAGAACUCGGGUGAAGGAACUAGGCAAAAUGGUACCGUAACUUCGGGAGAAGGUACGCUCUCGACGGUGAAGUCCCUCGCGGAUGGAGCUAUUGAGAGUCGCAGAUACCAGGUGGCUGCAACUGUUUAUUAAAAACACAGCACUGUGCAAAAUCGUAAGAUGACGUAUACGGUGUGACGCCUGCCCGGUGCCGGAAGGUUAAUUGAUGGGGUUAGACUUCGGUCGAAGCUCUUGAUCGAAGCCCCGGUAAACGGCGGCCGUAACUAUAACGGUCCUAAGGUAGCGAAAUUCCUUGUCGGGUAAGUUCCGACCUGCACGAAUGGCGUAAUGAUGGCCACGCUGUCUCCACCCGAGACUCAGUGAAAUUGAAAUCGCUGUGAAGAUGCAGUGUACCCGCGGCUAGACGGAAAGACCCCGUGAACCUUUACUACAGCUUGGCACUGAACAUUGACCCUACAUGUGUAGGAUAGGUGGGAGGCUUUGAAACUAGUACGCCAGUAUUAGUGGAGCCGUCCUUGAAAUACCACCCUUGUAGUGUUGAUGUUCUAACGUCGACCCCUUAUCGGGGUUGCGGACAGUGCCUGGUGGGUAGUUUGACUGGGGCGGUCUCCUCCCAAAGCGUAACGGAGGAGCACGAAGGUGGGCUAAUCACGGUUGGACAUCGUGAGGUUAGUGCAAUGGCAUAAGCCCGCUUGACUGCGAGAAUGACAAUUCGAGCAGGUGCGAAAGCAGGUCAUAGUGAUCCGGUGGUUCUGAAUGGAAGGGCCAUCGCUCAACGGAUAAAAGGUACUCCGGGGAUAACAGGCUGAUACCGCCCAAGAGUUCAUAUCGACGGCGGUGUUUGGCACCUCGAUGUCGGCUCAUCACAUCCUGGGGCUGAAGUCGGUCCCAAGGGUAUGGCUGUUCGCCAUUUAAAGUGGUACGCGAGCUGGGUUUAGAACGUCGUGAGACAGUUCGGUCCCUAUCUGCCGUGGGCGUUGGAAGAUUGAAGGGGGCUGCUCCUAGUACGAGAGGACCGGAGUGGACGAACCUCUGGUGUUCGGGUUGUGUCGCCAGACGCAUUGCCCGGUAGCUAAGUUCGGAAUCGAUAACCGCUGAAAGCAUCUAAGCGGGAAGCGAGCCCUGAGAUGAGUCUUCCCUGAUACUUUAAGUAUCCUAAAGGGUUGUUCGAGACUAGAACGUUGAUAGGCAGGGUGUGUAAGCGUUGUGAGGCGUUGAGCUAACCUGUACUAAUUGCCCGUGAGGCUUAACCAUACAACACCCAAGGGGUUU